GCCAUAGCAUAUGAUUUACAUCAUUUUCAUCCUUAUCAAACCAUUCAGUGACCCCUCGUGUCCUGUGGAUGGGGGCAUUAUCAUCCUGGAAGAGACCACCUCCAUCAGGACAGAGAUGUCUCAUCAUAGGAUAAAGAUGCAGUUUGAGGUUUACAAGGAACCAUGAAUUCUCCGGCAUAUCAACAACGCUCUGGUACGCUCUGUCAU